rnacentral:tRNA from 1 species
GAGGCUUUAGCUUAAUAAAAGUGCUUGAGUUGCAUUCAAGAGAUGUGCUAUAGUAUAGUACAAGUUUU